UACGGAGGAUGCGAGCGUUAUCCGGAUUUAUUGGGUUUAAAGGGUGCGUAGGCGGGCUUUUAAGUCAGCGGUAAAAAUUCGGGGCUCAACCCCGUCCGGCCGUUGAAACUGGGGGCCUUGAGUGGGCGAGAAGAAGGCGGAAUGCGCAGUGUAGCGGUGAAAUGCUUAGAUAUUGCGCAGAACUCCGAUUGCGAAGGCAGCAUACCGGCGGCGAUCUGACGCUGAGGCACGAAAGCGUGGGUAUCGAACAGG
rnacentral:rRNA from 1 species